rnacentral:rRNA from 1 species
GACGAACGCUGGCGGCGUGCUUAACACAUGCAAGUCGAACGGAAAGGCCCUGCUUUUGUGGGGUGCUCGAGUGGCGAACGGGUGAGUAACACGUGAGUAACCUGCCCUUGACUUUGGGAUAACUUCAGGAAACUGGGGCUAAUACCGGAUAGGAGCUCCUGCUGCAUGGUGGGGGUUGGAAAGUUUCGGCGGUUGGGGAUGGACUCGCGGCCUAUCAGCUUGUUGGUGGGGCAGUGGCUUACCAAGGCUUUGACGGGUAGCCGGCCUGAGAGGGUGACCGGCCACAUUGGGACUGAGAUACGGCCCAGACUCCUACGGGAGGCAGCAGUGGGGAAUAUUGCACAAUGGGCGGAAGCCUGAUGCAGCAACGCCGCGUGCGGGAUGACGGCCUUCGGGUUGUAAACCGCUUUCGCCUGUGACGAAGCGUGAGUGACGGUAAUGGGUAAAGAAGCACCGGCUAACUACGUG